rnacentral:rRNA from 1 species
AUGCGCGAACAGGAUGAACACAAGACAGCAUUCAAAACUCACCACGGCCAUUUCCAAUUCAGAGUCAUGCCAUUCGGGUUGACAAAUGCUCCGGCCACGUUCCAAUGCCUGAUGAACGCUAUCUUCGCCAAGUAUACCCGUAAGUUUGUCAUCAUUUUUCUUGACGACAUCCUUGUUUUCAGUGAGACACUCGAGGACCAUUUGGAACAUCUCCGCAUCAUCCUCAACUUGCUCCGCGAGCACCAGCUAUAUGCCAAGAUGUCCAAGUGCUCGUUCGCGCAAGAUCACAUUGAUUAUCUGGGUCACGUCAUCUCCAAGCAGGGCGUCGCGACUGAUGCUGAGAAGACAGACGCCAUGGCGCAGUGGCCUACUCCAACCAACGCCACCGAGCUCCGUGGCUUUCUGGGGCUCACCGGCUAUUACCGCAAGUUCGUUCCCCACUACGGGAUCAUUGCCAAGCCGCUAACCCAACAGCUCACCAAGAAAGGCUUUGCAUGGCCCGAGUCGGCGCAGCUCGCGUUCGACACGCUCAAGAAGGCGAUGGUGACCACGCCGGUGCUCGCCCUUCCUGACUUUGACAAGCCAUUCUCCAUCGAAACCGACGCCUGCGACACCGGCAUCAGUGCCGUGCUCGUCCAAGACGGCCACCCCAUCGCAUACUACAUCAAGGCGUUGGGCGUGAAGAACCAGAAGCUCUCCACCUACGAGAAAGAGUUCUUGGCCGUCAUGAUGGCCGUGGACAAAUGGCGCUCUUACCUGCAACGCGGGCCGUUCACCAUUGUCACGGACCACAAAAGCUUAUGCACGCUUGGGGACCAGCAUCUGGUGACCGAUGUCCAGCGCCGCGCCAUGUCCAAAUUGGUCGGCCUCCAAUUCAAGUUCCAGUACAAGAAGGGCGUCGACAACAGCGCGGCGGAUGCUCUCUCUAGCGUGGGCAGUCACUACAGCGCCAAUGCUCUGUCCCUCUGCCAGCCAACAUGGAUUCAGGAAGUGGCCAAUUCGUAUGCCACGGAUCCAGAUGCCCAGGAAAAGAUUCAGCAGCUCGCGCUGCACAGUCCGGACGACGAGGAGUACGAGCUGUACCGUGGAGUCAUUCGCCGUCGCGGGUGGCUGUGGAUCGGCGCAAACACAGCCCUGCGCACCAAACUGAUCAGCGCUCUGCAUGACAGUGCCGUGGGGGGCCAUUCUGGCUCGACAGCAACUUACCACCGAGUCAAGAAGCUGUUUGAGUGGAAGGGUCUGAAACAUGAUGUUGAAGAUUAUGUGCGGCAGUGCCAGAUUUGUUAA